AAAUUUUCUAUUUUUUAUAUUCGUUUAAAUAUUCUGUUUCCUUAUCUUUCUUUAUAAGUUUUUGAAAAAUAAGUGAGCUGUAACAGCUCAUUGUAUAUAUAUAUAUAUAUAUAUAUAUAUAUAUAUAUAUAUAUAUAUAUAUAUAUAUAUAUAUAUAUAUAUAUAUAUAUAUAUUUAGAUUUGGAAAUAUUAUCUUCCAAAAUUACCAUUAUUUUCUAAAGGUUCUUAAUUUUAUAAUACUUUCACCAAAAGGUUUUGUUCAGGAAAAAACUUAUUCAUAACACUGAUUUCACCAGAGAAAAAAAUACUGAAGAUUAUAUGUAAUCGAGAAACUAAUGAUCAUUGGUUAACUUUAGAUUCUUAGAUGAAGUGGCACAAACAUAAAGGGUAACUUUGAUAUAUGUAGAUUUCACCUAAUUGUUUUAGAUUAGUAAAAUAAAAAAUUACCUUUUCCAAAGCUCGUAAAUCGGGUAAUGUGAACAUCAUCUUUAUCCUUUAUAUAACUCUUCCUAAUAUGUAAUUAUUAUAACUCUUGUGUCUAUCCCUUUAAUAUAUUGUAAUGCUUUCACUUUCAGAUAUCCAUAUCUCUACCUUUUUACCCUUCAAUAUCACGCAGUUACAUUCCAGUAAGUGUCUCUCUCAUUGUUAUUCCUCUGAUUCCAGUAAGUGUUUCUCUAUUGUUAUUAUUCGUUUACAUCUUUCUAUCUGACGUUUUUGUAAAACCAUAAUAUAUGUUGUCAGAGACAAAUUUGAGAUAUAACCAUAAUAUAUGUUGUCGGAGACUAAACCCUCUGUUAUAUUUCAUCAGUAUUUAACUUUAUCUUUGCAUAUGAUCUAUAUGCUUUUGUUGUAACUUGUAAGUAAGUCAUGUUUUCAUCUAUGCCAUCGACUUUCAAAUCUGUUUCGCCACUUCCAUAGAUUUGCUCACACAAAGUUCGUCAAACAAAUUAAACCCAGAAAGCUUCUUCUAAAUUAAAUUUAGAUGAUUUUCCUGAAAAUUUUUUGUGCUCCAUAUAUUUCAUUUAUGCUCUAUUUUUAUUUGUAUUUUUCUUUAGCUUUCCUUUUACUUUUAUUUUAUGUCACUGUUAUUUAUGUAAAUGCAUUACAUACACGAAUAUGUAUAUAUAAUCUGUCAUGUAUAUACCGUAUAUAUAUAUACAUAACUAUCAUAUAAAAACAUAUCAUUACAUUUCUCGUUUAUCAAUUUUAGCCAAAACUAGCAAAUAUGGGUUCUCAAGGCAACUUGUGUGAAGAUGUACAUCCUUCAGGAUCUCUUGAACCUUUGAUGGUAAUUUUUUGUUUUAUUCACUUUAAUUGUUAUAUAUCUAGUUUAUAGAUUACUAGUUUUGAUGAUAAACCUUUUGGUUUUAUAUUUGUGUGUAAAUUUUUUUUUGAUAACUGACGUAGUAUAUUUGUGUGUAAUUUCAAAUAAAAUCUUGCAGCGUUUAACGGCAGAGAAUGAUGGUAAUCACAACGUGCUUGAUGAGUUAAGCUAUACUCCUGAUAUAUCAACUACAAACUGGACACAUAAUAGCUUAUCAAGUAUGCCAAACAAAAAUGUCACAGUUCCUUUAUCCUCUGGCAUAUAUGGUCAGCAACUGCAGCCAUCAUCUUUAGGAACUGAGCAAAACCUUAACAACGACAAUAUCUGUACACAAAGUUGUCGUGCAAUAGUAAGUUACUUACAUCCUAUUUUCAAAAAAGAAAAUCUUUAUCAUAAGGUACAAAAUUUAAACAAAUUGUAGUGCAUAUAUAUAUAUAUAAUUUUUAAUUAAUCUUAACAACAUCAGCAACAACAAGAGGGCAAUUUCGAUGUACCACCAAAUAGUCAAGGUUCAGACAAACAAGUAAUGAUGGAUCCAUUUCAAGAGGCAAAUACUCCUACAAUGGACAAUGACCUAUUUUAUUUUUUUUACUUAUUUUAUUAACUCAUUUUUACUUAUACUAUCUCAAAACCAAAUAUCUAGAUUCAAAUGCAGCAACAACGUCAACAACAAUAUCAUGGUCUUUACAAUAUCAAUUCUACAUCUGGGUAUGUUAUUCUUUUUUUUUAAACAGAUCUAGUGAAAUAAUAUUUUUAUUUACGUAGUUUUAUGAAAUCUUUGUUGAACAAUCACUACGAAAGCUAUAAUAUUUGGAAAUGCAAAUAAUUCAACUCACGUAGUAUUAAAAAUUCCAUUCCAAAUUGGUAUUUUAACCAAAAUGCAAACAUUUUAUAUACUUAUAAGUUAUAACAUAUAUAGAAGAAAUUUUGAUCCAAUAUUCUGUCUUUUUUUUUUUGAAAAAAGCAGGACACCAUCAACUGCGUCAUAUCAACAUGUCCCAUUUUCUUCAUCUUUUGGUAUGUAUGGACAGCAACCAUUGGUGCCAUCCUCUUUGGUAGGCCAGCAAGAAGAACCUUCAGCCUCAAGGCUGGUUAAUACUUUAACUAGGUAUAUAAGACCACCGUUUCUUCAAUAUACUAGAAGAAAAUCCAGAAAUUACUCAGUUUACAAAAAAAAAAACCCGAUAAUUUCAAGUAAAACAAUCCCUUGAUUUUGCUCAAAAAAAAAUCCCUUGAUUUGUGAUUAGGUUUUUGGCUUACACAUAUGUAUAGCUACCAUUGAUACAAAACACAAAUAAUUUUCCUACCAUUUGUUUCGCAUACAAAAUAAACAAUAAAAUCAAGUUAUAUAAUUAACUAUAUAUUCUUUUGCUGAAUAUUUUGGGUUCCUACAGGACAUGUCCUCAACAAUGUCUACCUUACAUGUACCCUAGCUCGAGCACUAGUCCACAAUGUAAUAUCUCUCACAGACCCAGGCUUCAGUUUCCCUCAAGCUCUUCAAGGUAUGGAGUCUUAUUCAAUUUCGCACAAUAGAUAAAAUAACCUUUUGUACUCCAAAUGACAAUUUCUGAUUUUUAAAACCAAACAUAUUAUUUUGGAUCCCAUUUUAUAACAGUGGCAUGGGAGGGUUGAUUGAUCAGCCUUCAUCGAGUUUUAAUUCUCUUUUCCUUAACAAUCUGACGCCUAGACGUCCAUUCUUCAACUCAUCUAUACAUCAGCGGGUACAAACAUUUUCUAACGAAGAAUUAAGCCAUUUUAAUUAUUUUUUUGUCUGAAACCAUUUUAUUGUUAAUUAACUACAUAUUUAUGACUACUGGUCUCCAAAUAGGAAACAGGAGGCCAGAUCAAUGGGCAAUUAACUGUAUAUAGUUUAUUAUUUGCAUAAGUAUAAUUUGCAUGACUGUAUUUGCACUAAGAAAUAUUUGUAAAUGUAAGUUACAGAGAAGACCUCAACGCCAAAGUAACCAAUGUCUUGAACGUGGAGAAUCAUCUUCUGUUAGCCAAAGGGUACGUUUUUUUCUUCUAAAUCCUCAUUUUAGAAAACUUUAAAAUAAUUUUAUAAACUACAUGACACAAUUUCUUAUCAAGUAUGGCAAACUAAAGUUUUACAAUUCCUUCAUUUCCUUUGGUAUGUAUGGUCAGCAACUGCAGCCAUCGUUUUUAGGAACUGAAGAAAACCUUAACAACUACCAUCUCCCUACUCAAAAUUGUCAUGCAGUAGUAAGUUAAUUACUUGCAUUUUCUUUUCAAAACGUUCUUCAUCAUAAGCUACGGAUUUAGACAAAUUAAUUAUAUAUAAUACGUAUAUUAAUAUUUAUUUUACAAUGAAUCUUAGCAACAGCAGCACCAACAAGGAAGAAAUUUCCAUGUUCAACCAAAUAAUCAAGGUUUAUACAAUCAAAUGAUGAUGGACAGUGCCCCAAGACGAUCUGAAGCACUGGCUGGUGUCAAUCAGCUGCUGAAUGAAAGAACUACUUCACUUGAAGAGCCAAAUAUUCCUACAAUGGUACAGUACAUUUUAUGUUUUACUUCUUUUGUUAACUCAAAAUUUUGGUUAAUCUCUAAACCAAAUACUGAAUAUCUAUAAUCGAUUGCAGCAGCAGUAUCAACAACAAUUUUCUCGUCGUUAUGAUCCUAAUUCUACAUUUGGGUAUGUUCAAAUCAUUUUAACCCAAAAGAAAACAUUUUUAAAAAAUAAUUUAGAAUAUCUGCUAAACAAUCAAUACGAAACCUAUAAAUGUAACUGGAACUGCCACAUAGCGGGCAAUUCAAAUAACUCAACUCACGUAUAAUCCAACAAUUCCAUCCCGAAUUGAGAUUGUAACCAAAAUGCAAAAAUUACUUAUAAAUUAUAAGAAACUGAUAAAAAACAUUAUUUUUUUUUGGAAAAAGGAGGGCACCAAACUGUUUUUCAAAUGCGUCAUAUCAGCAUGUCCCAUUUGCUUCUUCUUCUGGCAUGCAUAGCCAGCAACCAUUGGCCCCAUCUUCUUUAGUUGGCGGGCAAGAUCACCUUUUCUUAAACAACUAACUGAUUUGUGAUUAAGUUUCACUUACAUUUUUGUUCUCCAAUAUAAUAGUUAUAUGUUCUUCUCUCAAUAUAUAUACAUAUGUAUUUAUAUCUGCAUUUUUAUCAAACAGUUAUAACUAUGUUUGUUUUACUAAACUAAUUGCGCUCCUACAUGACAUAUCCUCUACAGUCUACCAUACAUGAACCCCAACUCGGGCACUAAUCGACAAUGUAAUUUCUCGCUCCUACCCAGAUCACAAGUGCCCUCAAACUCUUCAAGGUACCCAGUCUUUUCCGAUUUUGCACAAUAUAAUAAGAUGUCCUCCAAAAUUAUUAUCGCUGAAUCUAAAACUGAACACAUUAUUUUGGUUCCUCUUUUAAAGGGAGUAUAGUGGCACGCAAGGGUUGAUUGAUCAACGUUCAUCAAGUUUUAAAUCCCCUCGCCUUAAAAACCAGACACAUAUACGUCCAUUCACAAACUCAUCUAUACUUCUGCAGGUAUAGGGAUGGCAAAUGGACCGCAGCCCGCGGGCCUGGCCCGUACAAGACCCAUGCGGGGCGGGUUUGGGCAGAGAUACUGUAGGCCCAUUUGUGAGCGGGUCUCGCGGGCUAAGUCUCAUGCGGGUUGGGCUUUUGCGGUUUGGGUCACUGCGGGUCUUGCGGGUCUGACUGAACCCGCACCACUUCCUCUUUGUUGUGUAUCCACCUGAAAAAAAAAAGACAAAGACGAAAAUGGCGAUUUAUGUUCUCAGAGAAGCCGCGACUCCAUUGACGCACACCAGAGGAUGCAUGUUCUUCUUCUCCUUGACUAAGGCCACCACCGGAGCUUCUCUCCGUCUUCUUCCACCACCAUAACUUCUCUUCUUGGAGAUCCCGCCACUGAAACUUUUCUCCUUCCUCGAGCCUCCACCGGAGCUUCUCUCCUUCCUCGAGCCUCCACCGGAACUUCUCUCCGUCUUCUUUCCACCACCAUAACUUCUCUUCUUGGAGAUCCCGCCACCGGAACCUCUCUCCUUCCUCGAGCCUCCACCGGAGCUUCUCUCCUUCCUAGAGCCUCCACCGGUGCUUCUUGUUCCUCCACCGCCACCGGAGUUGUUCACUUCUGGGACCCUCCGACAAUACAAAAACAAGUACUUGCGGAUAGAUAUUCGAGCAAUCAAGUCGUGGGCUCGGCGAAUCUUGGAAGGGCUUGUUUAUCUCCACGGCCACGACCCUCCUGUGAUCCAUAGAGACCUCAAGUGUGAUAACGUCUAAUGCUGUUUUUUUUCUUUUGUGCUUUUGGUGAAGUUUAUAUUUAACUAUGUUAGACUAAUCUUGAUUUUAAUUUAUUAUCUGAGAUAGCAGUGCUGCAAAGAACCACCGGAGAGAGAGACGUGAACUACCGGCGGGGCGGGCCACGGCGGGCGGGCCACGGCGGGGCGGGGCGGGUGGCACCGUUUGCCACUAAUAUUUGGCUACCCGCGGGCUGCCCGCAGAGUCUUAAAAUGUUAGCGGGGCGGGUUUGGGCAUGGCAAUUGAGACCGCGGGUUGUGGCGGGCCAACCCGCAAAGAACCGCCGGAGAGAGAGACCGCGGCGGGGCGGGCUACGGCGGGGCGGGUGGUACCAAUUGCCAUUCCUAUGCAGGUACAAACACUUUUUAUGCAAUGAAUCAAACCAUAUAAUUGUAAGAAAAAAAUAUUAAAGAAAAUGAAACCAUAUAAUUUUGGUUUUUGUAGAAAAACUUUCUACAUAACUAUGACACGAUAGUUAACUAAAUAUUUACUACUGUACUGUUCUCCAAAAAGGAAUCUGGAGGUCAUAUCAAUGGACAAUCGUCAACUCACCAUCUCGCGACUGACACAUUAGUAAGCAGCAACCACAUACACGUGCAUCAAUAUCUUAUGUAUGACUACAUAUACACUAAAAAUUAUUUAUAAAUGAAUGUCACAGAGAAGACGUCGACCACAAAGUAACGAAUGUGAGUUUGGAGAAUCAUCAUCUUCUGCUAAACGAAUGGUACAUUUUGUCUAAAUUUUUAUUUUAUAGAAGUAAGCUAAAUUUACGAAAUCGGAGAAUAUAAUGUGGUCACUUAUAAAAUGCAGAGGAUCAUCUCGCCAGGAGAAAAUAACGAAUCAUUUGCAGAUAGUCUUCUUAAUCUUCGUGAAGAAAGGUUUUUCAAUCUAGCUUUUAUAUGUUAUAGUAUAUUUACCCUAUUUUCUAUAUGCGUGAUACUCUCAAUAUAUAGAAGGUAUCGGUUAUGGAGAUUUAUAUUACUCGUCAGGACGAUUACUCUUAUUAGAAAUUAUUUCUUCAAUUUUAAUAAGUUAUAUAGUAUCCCUUGCGGUGCUGUAUCUAUCCAUCGUCGGAUUCUUUUUAUUUUGUUUUUUAUUGAAACCAGUUAAUGAUUAACAAUAGGAAAUUUACUAAUGAAAGCAAAUUUUUAUGAAUCUAUGAUCAUAACUAAUACAUUCUUGUUUAUAUCCCAGGACAACAAAUAGUGUAUUGAGUCCCACCUACAUAACUUCUGGUUUAACUGUUAAUCCUCAUUUGAGAAGAUCUGAUGAUAUACGGUAAUUCAUUCUUAGAUGUAGCUGACGUAAGUAAGGAGAGAAAUUGUUGAUUUAACAUAUAGUUGGGGAAUCAUGUUUCAUGCUCUUUUAGUAAGCCCUAAUCAUGGUUCAUGCUAUUUGUGUUCAUCAGCAAUUUAAUUCAUGAUUAUAUUAAGAAUAUUUUUUACUAAUAAGUAUAUCCUUAUUGUUUUCAAUGAUGAAUUAAUCCUUCGUUAUAAAGGAAAAUCAUGUUGCUUUUUUUUCUUUCAGGUCAUCAUAUGGACCAUAUGAUGAAAGAUAUGAAGCCGACCGCCAAUAUCUUGAUCCUCACAUGAGAAAAUUUGAGAACAGCGUGAGAAGAGGUAACUAAAGUUUAGUGUCGUUAUAGUUUUAUAUUAACUCAUUUAUGAAUUUUGUCGAAACUUAAGAACGAAAUGCAACAUUGUAAUCUUAUAUGGUUUGUUCCUCUUGAUCUGUAGGAAAAUGAUAUAAAAUUAAUCAAGCUUUGAGAAGUGAGAAGAUUUCAGUGGCAUAUAAACUAUCAGAUUGGUGUCCCAACUAGUUAUAAAUAAGUUAUCAUGUCUUUUUGUCAACAAUGGAUUUCAUCUUAUUUUAAAUUUUAAUAAAAAUGACAACUUCAAACUUUCUUUAAUACCCUAAAUAGUUAAGCAUAAAGGUAUUAACAAUUCUCUGCUAUGAUUUUUUAUAUGUUUCUUCAACCUUAUAAAAAUAAGUUCUUAAAUAUAUUUUUUUAAAUAGCAUUUUUUAAAAGAAAAGCUUGCUAAAAAAUGGGUAAAUAAUACAAGGAUAUGACUUUUGGGUCAUGCAAUUUAGAAGAGUUGUUUGUGAAAGUUAAAGAAAACAAACAUUAAAGUAGAAUUCAUAGAGAAAAAGUAGAAGAGAUCACACUCGUAAACCUACUGAUACGACCCACGGUCUCCUCUAUGUUUUCCACAGCCACGAACGUCCACUGCAUUCUCGUAUCUUCUGGGAAGGUUUUAUAUGCCUAUCUCAAAAGGUUUAUGAGAAGAAGCAUCAUUCAUUCAAAAGGACAAUCGUUCCAGAAAAAAAAACCUCUCUUCUCUCUCCUGACCACAAAGCCAUCGAUUCAACCUCCCUCUCCAAUUUCUACCGUGAGAUUGUGAGAGGCAUCUUUCUUUUUAUUUCUUUUUGCCUGGGUUUGUAUCCGUGAUUUAACAGAUCUAGAAGAGGACUUGGUGGCGAUUCAGAUUUGAAGUUGUGAGUGGUUCGGUUUCUGUCAGAUCGAUGGCGGCGGCUCUUUGCGUUUCCUAGUUCUUGAGGACGGAGUUAGGUCAUCGCUUCCUCAGGGGUUUUCGGUGGAGAUUUGGUCAGAGCUCGCUUCUUGGAGUCGAGUGGAGCAGAUCUGUGAAGGGGGGUGGUGGCUCUCGGUGAGGAGAUGGUUUUCAAGGCGGAACUGGGAUAUGGUAGCAUGAACUUCCGGUGCCUCAAGUAAGCUUUCCGUUUUGAGGGCAGCGGAGAGGCGUGAAAGAGAUCACCGGAGGCGGCUGAUUACGGCAACGGUCUUUGGACUGGAUCUGCUUGGCUCUCGGAUUCUUGGGUUCUCUGUUCUUUUCUCCGGCGUUCACCUAGUCCUUUCAUAGUCCUUCCGGUGAGGUUCUUCUCUAUCCAGGCGGUAGCACUUAUGGCGGAAGUCGGUUUCUGGUCUUGGCGUCAGCGGUCUCCUGAUCUCCGGCGUGGCGGCUUCAUCGUGAGAGGGUGAGGCUCGGAGCUAGGGUUUUCGCAAGCUUUUGGGCUAUUUUGGGCUUGUUACUCUUCUAGGUUUUGUCUAAUUGGGCCCAUUUGGGAUUGUAGGAUUACUCUAUAUUUCACUCUAUUAUAGAGUAACUUUAUUAUAAAGUGAACCAUUGGAGCAAAUUUAACUCUAUAAUAGAGUUACUCUAUUUUAGUGUAAAUUAUAGAGGAAAAAAUAGAGUGUCUUUGGAGAUGCUCUAACACCCUAAUUUUAGGUUUACGGUUACUUUUUGGAUA